rnacentral:rRNA from 1 species
CAGCAGCCGCGGUAAUACGGAGGGGGCUAGCGUUGUUCGGAGUUACUGGGCGUAAAGCGCACGUAGGCGGCUUUGUAAGUUAGAGGUGAAAGCCUGGGGCUCAACUCCAGAAUUGCCUUUAAGACUGCAUCGCUUGAACGUCGGAGAGGUGAGUGGAAUUCCGAGUGUAGAGGUGAAAUUCGUAGAUAUUCGGAAGAACACCAGUGGCGAAGGCGGCUCACUGGACGACUGUUGACGCUGAGGUGCGAAAGCGUGGGGAGCAAACAGGAUUAGAUACCCGCGUAGUCCCUGUCUCUUAUAC